rnacentral:rRNA from 1 species
GUGGGGAAUCUUCCGCAAUGGACGAAAGUCUGACGGAGCAACGCCGCGUGAGUGAUGAAGGUCUUCGGAUUGUAAAGCUCUGUUAAUCGGGACGAAAGAGCCUAGUGUGAAUAAUGCUAGGAAGUGACGGUACCGGAAUAGAAAGCCACGGCUAACUACGUGCCAGCAGCCGCGGUAAUACGUAGGUGGCAAGCGUUGUCCGGAAUUAUUGGGCGUAAAGCGCGCGCAGGCGGAUCUGCCAGUCUGUCUUAAAAGUUCGGGGCUUAACCCCGUGAUGGGAUGGAAACUACAGAUCUAGAGUAUCGGAGAGGAAAGUGGAAUUCCUAGUGUAGCGGUGAAAUGCGUAGAUAUUAGGAAGAACACCAGUGGCGAAGGCGACUUUCUGGACGAUGUCUGACGCUGAGGCGCGAAAGCUAGGGGAGCGAACGGGAUUAGAAACCCCUGUAGUCC